UAGAAAUCCCUUGCCUGAAUUUGAUGCUAUCUGAUAGUAACUUAUCUAAUUACAGAAAAUGAAAAGCCAUAUACAUAAUGACAAAAUAUUAAUUUCAGGUCUUCAUCCUGCUCGGUCUGGCAGCCGUGGUUGCUGCAGACAGCCGUGAGAUUUUCUCUUACGGACCUCCCCGGGAUUCCUCUGAAGAGUCAUUUGAGUCGUACGAGUCAGGAGAAGCCAAGUACGACUUCAGUUAUGCCGUUCAACACGAAGACUCCGGCAACGACUUCGGCCACGAGGAAGCCCGUGACGGCGAACACACUCAGGGAUCCUACUACGUGAGGCUUCCCGACACCCGUCUCCAGAGCGUCAAGUACUUCGUGGACGGCGACUCCGGCUACGUGGCUGAAGUCAACUAUGAGGGCGAGGCUCGUUUCCCUGACUCCUACGAGUCUGCUUCCUUCGAGUCUGCCUCCUUUGAGUCCCGGGAGUACAGGCCACCAAGGCCAGUCUACACCUAUGGCUCCAACGAGUCAAAGUAAACAAUCCAAUUAUUCAUCAGUGGAUCAUGAUCACGGACAUGGAUUUUUAAUGACAAAUAUUUAUUGUAUAUUUAUUACAAAAUUAAACAUGAAAGCAGGAA